GAAAUGCGAUAAGUAAUGUGAAUUGCAGAAUUCAGUGAAUCAUCGAAUCUUUGAACGCACAUUGCGCCCGCCAGUAUUCUGGCGGUCAUGCCUGUUCGAGCGUCAUUUCAACCAUCAAGCCCCCGGCUUGUGUUGGGGACCUGCGGCUGCCCGCAGGCCCUGAAAAACAGUGGCGGGCUCGCUGUCACACCGAGCGUAGUAGCAUACAUUCUCGCUCAGGGCGUGCUGCGGGUUCCGGCCGUUAAACGACCUUCAUAACCCAAGGUUGACCUCGGAUCAGGUAGGAAGACCCGCUGAACUUAAGC
rnacentral:misc_RNA from 1 species